rnacentral:misc_RNA from 1 species
CGACCCAAGCCUUCUGGCGAUCUCUUAAAACAAGCCUAGCCUCUUUAAGAAAAUAGGGCAUUUAGAUAUACUUUAAAUUCUUAUGGAUCUUAAAAGUCAUGAAUUUAAAAAAGGCUUUAUGAAGAAAGCACUUUAAGCUUUUCCAAUAAUUUAAGAUGAUACCGGGGAAGGUUUUCCGGUUUAUCCCGGAGGGCUUGUAGCUCAGUUGGUUAGAGCGCGCGCUUGAUAAGCGUGAGGUCGGAGGUUCAAGUCCUCCCAGGCCCACCAAUCACUCUAUCAAUUUAAUGAAGCGCUAGCGAGCUUGCUUAUAGGAUGUUUGCCUAUCAAGUCUGCAAACUGCUAAAAUAAAGUCUGUAAACCGAUAAAGUCUCUAAAUUUGUAARAAACUGACAUGUCUUGCUUGGUAAUGCCUUAAAGGCAUUUUAAAAAGCACUGAUCAUUUGUUAUAGGACUUCAAAGUGAUGUCAUCACUUAAAUUUUAAGAGUUUGGAAUGCAUUAUGCUAUUUUAGGGGCCGUAGCUCAGCUGGGAGAGCACCUGCUUUGCAAGCAGGGGG